rnacentral:rRNA from 1 species
GACGAACGCUGGCGGCGUGCCUAAUACAUGCAAGUAGAACGCACAGUUUAUACCGUAGCUUGCUACACCAUAAACUGUGAGUUGCGAACGGGUGAGUAACGCGUAGGUAACCUGCCUGGUAGCGGGGGAUAACUAUUGGAAACGAUAGCUAAUACCGCAUAAUAUUAAUUAUUGCAUGAUAAUUGAUUGAAAGAUGCAAUUGCAUCACUACCAGAUGGACCUGCGUUGUAUUAGCUAGUAGGUGAGGUAACGGCUCACCUAGGCGACGAUACAUAGCCGACCUGAGAGGGUGAUCGGCCACACUGGGACUGGGACACGGCCCAGACUCCUACGGGAGGCAGCAGUAGGGAAUCUUCGGCAAUGGACGGAAGUCUGACCGAGCAACGCCGCGUGAGUGAAGAAGGUUUUCGGAUCGUAAAGCUCUGUUGUAAGAGAAGAACGGGUGUGAGAGUGGAAAGUUCACACUGUGACGGUAUCUUACCAGAAAGGGACGGCUAACUACGUG